rnacentral:rRNA from 1 species
GGAUUAAUACCUCAUAGUAUAGUACUUUGGCAUCAAGGAACUAUUAAAGUCACAACGGCAAAAGAUGAGCAUGCGUCCCAUUAGCUAGUUGGUAAGGUAACGGGCUUACCAAGGCUACGAUGGGUAGGGGUCCUGAGAGGGAGAUCCCCCACACUGGUACUGAGACACGGACCAGACUCCUACGGGAGGCAGCAGUGAGGAAUAUUGGACAAUGGGCGCAAGCCUGAUCCAGCCAUGCCGCGUGCAGGAUGACGGUCCUAUGGAUUGUAAACUGCUUUUAUACAGGAAGAAACACUCCGACGUGUCGGAGCUUGACGGUACUGUAAGAAUAAGGAUCGGCUAACUCCGUG